AGUCCCUUUGGUCAUCACUGUCCUGCAAGAAUUCCGUAUUUUACUGAGUUUUCUAAAAGCAAAUGAACCAGAUAUGCAUCAUCUCAACAACAAUGAUCUUUGGCCACUGUUCGGAUCUACAAGGGUAGUGUGUGGAAGGCUUGAUCUCCAGACCCUGCUACUGCUGGAAGGCACUGGAAGCUUUAGGAGAUGGGGUCCGGUGGGAGGAAGUGACCUCACUGGGUGCGCGCCUUCCUCGCUCUGCUUCUCCACCCGCCCUGGGAACCGUUUUCCUCUGCCCAGUGGGGGCUGGUGCUCAGCCUGGCCCCGCUCCCAGGGCAAGCAGCUCGCAGGAGUGGGCUAGACGGGUCGGCUUCCUCCCUUGCCCCAGAGAACACUUCGUUUUUUCUUAGAGGAAGAGGCUUCCAGCUCUCCUGCCUUCUGCUUUCCCAUGGCCGAAGUGACUCCUCGGGAGGCAGAAAUGGAUGGACCUCCCGGCAUGUGAAGGAAAUUGCCCCUGGUAUGGCCAUGCCAGUGUCUGGCUGCGUCUCCGGUUCCUUGGGAUUUGGCUUGGCCUCCGUCAUGAGGGCUAAUGUCACCCUCAUCAGCUGUUUCUUCCUGAACUCAUCGGAAGUCAGGGGUUGGAGGAGACCCUCUGUGUUGACUUGAGGUUCAUCCACGUCGUGGCGCCCUGGGGGAGAAAGCCCCACUGGGGGAGCUUAGUACCCGCACCGCGCGGGUUGGGGGGGGGCUGCCUGAGCUUCUGCCAGGUGCCCCUCUGAGGCCAUUCCCUGUGCACUCUGCGGGGAAGGGGAAGACGUCGGGUCUGGGAGCUGCUGUAUGUACUAAGGCCCUGAUCCUGAGGUAGUGCACCAAGUCCACAGCCAACCCUUUCUAUCUCGAUGACUUGUGAAGCAGUACUACCCUCCUGCCUUCAUUAUGUCCAGCUGGAACCUGAGGGGAACUCUGCGCCUGGAGACCUGGGAGCUUGCCCUUGUCCUGGUUUCUGUUCAACCCUGAUCAAGGCUCUGCCUGGAGUUCCCGCGGCUGUUGCUCCUUAAAUGGACGCAUUGGGCGUUGGGGAUGGGGAGCUCACGUUAACAUUCCAAGUCCCAACUCGAGGGAAGACGGUUGCCAAACCCGUACGUUGAACUCCUAACCCCCAAAUUCUAGAAUGUGCGAGGAGUUGAGUCCUUUAAGAGUGACUUAAAAUGAGGCUGUAAGGGUGGUCCCUACCCAAUUUUAGUGGUGUCAUGAGGUGACUAGGCCCCACAGAUGGUUCCCAAGGGCACACGGGCCCAGUGGGGAAACACAGAAAGGGCCAACUGUAGGCUGUAGGCCCAGGAGGCGGGGUCAUAUGGGACCUUUCCAGAGCUGACUAGGGCUUUGCCUUCAUGGAUGCAACCACCCAUGAAUUCAGUGGAUUAAUGCAGCGUCUUAACAGUGGGCCUGCUGUUAAGGCCAGUUUGAUCCGGUCUUUUGCGUGUAAUGCCCUACACUGCCUAGGGACUCUGUUAGCAAGGGCAUUGCCACAUGCCUUGACCUUGUACCAGAGCCAUGAGCCAAAACAAUACUACAUACGCGAGCCGUGGUCUUGUGUUAUCAGCAACAGAAAAUGCACUCAGACAAGUGUUCAUAUUUGAGGAUCCUAUCCGGAUACCAGGGACUCAGAAAAUGCCUUUCUCAUACUUUUCUGUAAAAUAAAAGACUGGAAGAGCGGCUAACAGUGGAGUGUGUAGAAGACAGAUUACAGAAGGCUGGAGCACGCCCUUAGGCAGCUGCAUAUCCCAAACAAGCAAAUCCAUAGUUCUUGAAUUCUUGGUGUUGCUAAGUCCUUAUCCCAGCAAAAGAUACCCACUGAUCCGGGGCUCGUUGGUGGGGAGUUACGAUUUCAUAUCCACACUGGUCUAACACUAUGCAGUUAAAACUCAACUGAUUAAAAAAAAAAAAAGUUCCUCAACAAUGAUCUGGUGUAGAAAAUGGCAAAAACAACACAGCCACUCACUUUGACACAGAGCUAGGAAGUCCUGUUAGUUCAACAUUUAUUAAUGAGAUUCAACUCUGUUGACCAGACAAUGUCAAACACUAGAAAAAUGAGUCAAUGUAUACAUUUACAAAGCAAAAUAUUUCUCAUCAAUUCCCAAGAUUUAUCUCACAAAGUAUGGCGAGAAACAAUCACAGUAUUAAGUAUUA